UACGGGGGGGGCAAGCGUUGUUCGGAAUUACUGGGCGUAAAGGGCUCGUAGGCGGCCAACUAAGUCAGACGUGAAAUCCCUCGGCUUAACCGGGGAACUGCGUCUGAUACUGGAUGGCUUGAGAUUGGGAGAGGGAUGCGAAAUUCCAGGUGUAGCGGUGAAAUGCGUAGAUAUCUGGAGGAACACCGGUGGCGAAGGCGGCAUCCUGGACCAACACUGACGCUGAGUGAGCGAAAGCCAGGGGAGCAAACGGG
rnacentral:rRNA from 1 species